rnacentral:rRNA from 1 species
GGCCGCUGCAUCUGAAACUGGGUAUCUAGAGUGCGGGAGAGGAAAGUGGAAUUCCUAGUGUAGCGGUGAAAUGCGUAGAGAUUGGAAGAACACCAGUGGCGAAGGCGACUUUCUGGACUGUAACUGACGCUGAGAUACGAAAGCGUGGGGAGCAAACAGGAUUAGAUACCUGGUAGUCCACGCCGUAAACGAUGAAUAAUAGGUGUCGGGGGGUACCACCCUCGGUGCCGCAGCAAACGCAAUAAGUAUUCCGCCUGGGGAGUACGGUCGCAAGAUUAAAACUCAAAGGAAUUGACGGGGACCCGCACAAGCAGCGGAGCAUGUGGUUUAAUUCGAAGCAACGCGAAGAACCUUACCUAGACUUGACAUCUCCUGAAUUACUCGUAACAGAGGAAGCCCUUCGGGGCAGGAAGACAGGUGGUGCAUGGUUGUCGUCAGCUCGUGUCGUGAGAUGUUGGGUUAAGUCCCGCAACGAGCGCAACCCUGAUCGUUGGUUGCUACCAUUAAGCUGAGCACUCCAGCGAGACCUCCUGGGUUAAUCAGGAGGAAGGUGCGGUCGACGUCAAAUCAUCAUUCCCCUCAGGUCUAGGGCUACUCACGUGCUACAAUGGCCGGUACCACGCCAAGCACACCCUAGAGCGGGAAUCCAUCUCAAAACCCAAUCCCACAUGCGGAGGCAUCCUGUAACUAGCCCUCAUGAGAGGCAUAAAGGUAUCCAUCGUGAGUCCGAAUGUCGCGGCGAAUACCCUGCCGGGUGGCAGCACUCCGCCCGUCACUCCCUGAGAGCCCGUAACACCCGAAGCCUGUGAGGUAACCGCAAGGAGCCAGCAGUCGAAGGCAGGACUCCAGCGGGCGUUAUGUGGCAGCAUCGUAGUCG